rnacentral:lncRNA from 1 species
CUGCUUUGCCUCGCAGCUGGAGAAGCCACCUCGCUUCCCCUCCACUCUACUGGGGUGACGAGAUAGCAACUGACGUCAGCUCGGGCUGAUUGCGUCACGACCGCAGGCAAAUCGCCGCUCUUGCCAAAGCGCUUCUUCUCUCGCCUUCUGGAAAGGCCUCCGGAUUCGGGUUCGGUCCAGGCGGCGGGGCUGGUGGCCCGCGUGUAAGCCGGGGCUUCCACCACACACCUCACUUCCGGCGGGGGACGGGGCGGGGGGGCGUGUGUCUGCACGAGGUCUCGCGUGAAGUGGCUCUGCGGGAGCGGGAGCGGGAGCGGGAGCGGGAGCGGGUGCGACGCACGCGGCGGCGCAGGCGUCGGCCGCCCCGAGACCCACCGACACCCUUCGGGAGGUCGCAGCAGGCCCGACGCUGCGGGGGCUUCCCUGGAACCGGGCUGUGCCCCCGCGGCCACGUGGGGAGGCGGCGGCAGAGCCCCUCGGAGCGCCGCGUGCCUCCCGGAGGACGGCGAGAGCCGCAGCCCCGGCGGCUGCUGGGCCGCGGAGGCGGACAUUUGGAAACCAGCUCCGUGGAAGUUGUGAGGCACCCAGAGAGCACAAACUUCUAUCUUUUAUCUCAUGGAUCCAAUGUAACUGUUACCGAAGCAAAAUUCUUGUGGCAACGAUGUUGAUGGGAAAGAUGCUUACAAUGAAAGUACCUGGAACCUAUAUUCUGAAUAAGUCCUAGCACUACUACUUUUUAGCUCCAACGACCUUUUUAUGGGAUUGAAAUUGUUAGUUUUAUGGGCCAAAAUGACAAGUGAAAGAAAACUUCUGGCUCCAAGGCAUAAGACCCAUUCAAGUUGAAAAAAACAAAGCUGGUUCUUGCUUUUAUAGCUAUGUUUGCUUUCAUAAAGUAUGAUGCCACAUUUUUAAAUCAUAAUAUUAUUAGCAUGUGAAUAAAUGGAAAGACUUCUAGAAAUACUUUGUCUUUUCUCUCCUUCUUCUUUCCCUCCUCCUUUUUUUUUAUCCUUAAUUUUUUCCUUAUCUUCCAUAUUCUCUUGAUUUUUUAAUUUUUCCCUUUGUAUUUUCUUCCAUUUUAUUUAUUAAUUUUGCUCUCUUUUUUGGAGGGGAUAAUAUAUUGCUAAGUAUUUCUUUGUUAUUUCAUUAUCUGGAAGAGGUUUUAUAUCUAUUCUAAGCAGUAUUAAAUGGAUGAGUCUCAUUUUUGCUUUUGUCCUUAUGUCCUCAGAGUCCUUCACUGUGCCACCAAAGAAUGGUGUCCUUGAAGGCAAAUGGGUGAGGAAAUUCAUUUUCUUUUGUCAAUAGCUGUGCUUCAAUUGACCUAUUUAGAUAUAGAGUACAAUUCCAAUUAUAGUAACUGUACAUGGCAAGACACAGACAUAUGCAGUGAAGUAUUAUCAUACAUUAAAAGCACUUGAUAGAGUAUACCUAGUCCAUAAUGUUGGUGAUGAUCCUGUUUUCCUCACUGGGAGUCUAAACUCUCCCUAGGAUAUGACACUUUGGAACUAUAAACUUUGUAACACAGCUGAAAACACGGAAGCCAGAACAGAUCACCAAGUGACUCAUGCUUACAACACCCAAGAGAGAAGAGCAACAGUAAUUGCCUCUAUUACUUCAACCUCAUUCAAAUCUUCCUUACUUGAUCUCAAGUAAGAGAGUAUUAAGUAUUGGCUCCUUUUUGGAGAGUUUGAUGUUUUACCCUCAAGAUGUUCUUGUCUAAGGCUUGAGAAGCCAAUUCUUGAGAAGAGCUUCCUGAAAGAAACAAAACUAGGUUUGAAGAAAGAAUGUGAAUGUUGUGUAUAAAGACUUGUAUUUUAGAAAUAACUUAGUGGUGUCUACUGGGUUCCUGAAACUUUCCUAUAAACCAGAACAUAUACAUUUCCUGCUAUGUGAGGGGUACAUUAAGCUCUGAGUUUAUUUUCCAUGGCUGGUUUAUCAGAAAACAGUAUGAAAUUAUUAAAAGACUCUCUCAAGCAGAAGAAGAAAAGGAAAGAAUGUACUAUGAAGGUUGGCAAGAAGGAUGACUUGGAGCUACUAAUUAAGAAUUCUUGCUCUCGGGGAUCCCUGGGUGGCUUAGCGGUUUAGCGUCUGCCUUCGGCCCAGGGCAUGAUCCUGGAGUCUUGGGAUCGAGUCCCACAUCAGGCUCCCUGCAUGGAGCCUGCUUCUCCCUCUGCCUGUGUCUCUGCCUCUCUCUCUCUCUGUCUCUGUCUCUCAUGAAUAAAUAAUAAAAUAAAAUCUUAAAAGAAAAAAGUGUGCUUUCUCUCCAUUCAAAUUUGUCUCUUCCUAGUGUAAAAUUCUCAUAUCUGAUGUGAGGAAGUCAAGGGGAAAAUGAAAAAACAAAAACAAGUAUCCUUAGCUGACUCUACUGGCUUCUUAACUGGUAAGUGGUUAUCUUCCAACUGACUAAAGUGAUGAUGUGAUUGUCAGAGAGUUGAACAGUGAGCAAAGACAACCUCAUUUAGAUAAGUGGAAAGCCGUUGGUGAGCAACUGCUAGGAAAACAAAG